rnacentral:misc_RNA from 1 species
UGAUAAUCGGUCGAUUUUAGGCCCUUUUCUCUCAAGAUUUGGGAUUCAUUUGAAUCGAUCAAUGGGUUCUUUGAUUUGGGGUUUGCUGGUGGUGGUGCUGGCUUGUGGGUUGGGGGCUGAUGCAGAUGGGUCUGAUCACAAAUACAAGCAAGGGGAUCGGGUCCCUUUGUAUGCGAACAAAGUGGGGCCGUUUCACAAUCCGAGCGAGACAUAUCGAUACUAUGAUUUGCCAUUCUGCUCGCCAGGACAUGUAA